rnacentral:lncRNA from 1 species
AUGGAUUUGGUCUUAUUUUCAAUUUUUUGGUGUGCUCUCUCUUCCUGUAAGUUGUUGUCACACUGUGCAGCUUCAAGUAUAGUGCAAGUGCAUUCUGGGCUCCAAGUCAGCCGAGGAAAGUCUGUUUAUGUGACCAACAAGGAUCUGCAGCUCAGUCUCCCUGAUGAUGUGAAUUCCUGCAAGGUGGAAGUGGUAUUGAAUGAACCCGUGACACAAAGAGUUGGCAAACUCACACCUCAGGUUUUUGACUGUAACUUCUUACCUGAUGAGGUCAAGUACAUUCAUAAUGGUAGUCCUUUACUGGAGGAGGACACAGUGAUGCUAAGAAUCUACAGAUUUACACAUUCUGAGACUUUCAUAGAGACUGUUCUGCUGAGGGUGAGUGUGGUGGACCCCCAUGACAGCCUUAUCCAGUUUGGGAGAACUCCUUUGGUGGUCCCUGAGUUCUACAGCUUGUCUAACAUCAUUGACAGCAGAGUACUGACAUUCCAGAGCAGACCAGGAGCGAUCUGCAAUGUCCGUCUUCUCAACUCUGAAACUAGCAUGCCAGCAUUUGGACAGCUGGUCAAGGGCGAAUCCUCCAUGUCAGUCCCAAAGACAGACAUAAGAAGGUCCUCUGGAAAUAACUCAGAGACUCGAGACUCAUGUGCUGGUAACAAAGCCUGCAUCCAUGGCGCUAAGGAAGUACGUUUUUUAAAGGCCAACUGUGAGGAAUUCCUGAAAUCAGACUAUAAGUACCAGCAUCUCAAUCCUCCAUCCCCCGAGAUUGAUUACAUUACAAUCAGAGUGGAGCUGCGGGACAACAUCUCCAGGGCACUGUUGGAGACAGAAAGCACUUGGAUCCCAGUCCUAAUUCAUGGUGCCAUGCAGAACCAGCCCCCCCAUGCUGCCUUCAUGUCAAUGUUCAUCCUGGAGGUGGACCAGUUCAUUCUCACUCCCAUGACCACUGCUGCACUCGAUGCCAAGGACGAUGAAACCACUCAAGACCAGUUGGUGUUCAACAUUACUAAGCCCCCACCAGAGGGGUAUGUCACUCACCUGGAUGACCAUACCAAGCCAAUCACCUCCUUUAUCUGGCAAGACUUGCAUGAGAUGAAAAUUGCGUAUCAGCCCCCUAACAUAAGCUACACUGGGAGAAGGAACUAUGAGGUUGAGUUCCAGGCCAUUGACACUUCCUUUGCUACCAGUCCUACCAUACUGGUUCACUUCUCAGUCCGGACCGCAGAAACAAAUGCUCCUCGAGUGUCCUGGAAUAUGGGACUGGAUUUACUGGAAGGUCAAUCCAGACCAAUCACCUGGGAGAAUUUGCAGAUUGUGGACAGUGACAACAUCGAUGCAGUCUAUUUGGUGGCUGUGGAGGGACCUUCACAUGGGCAGCUGAGUGUGCGAGGUGGGAAAGGUUUCAUGUUCAAGGUGCAAGACCUGCAUGAGGGUGUAGUGGUGUACCAUCAUUCAGACAGCGACACCAUAAGGGACCAUAUAGUGUUCCGCAUCUCUGAUGGUCAGCACAGCAUUCGACACAAGUUCCCCAUCAAUAUUCUCCCAAAAGACGAUACACCUCCAUUCCUCAUCAACAAUGUGGCAUUUGAGGUGCAGGAGGGGGGUUCUGUUCUGGUGGAGGAAUACAUGUUAUUAGCCUCAGACUUGGACUCCAGCGAUGACUACAUCUUCUAUAAGGUUCUUACAGUUCCACGAGCCGGAGAGUUGAUUAAGAGGUCAUCUGCCCAGUUCCCAGGCUUCAUACUAUACGUGACUAGUUUCCUGCAGAGAGAUUUGUCUCAGGGCUUAAUUUAUUACAGACACUUUGGUGAUGAGGUAUUUGAAGAUUCAUUUGACUUCAUCCUCUCUGACAGCCACCAACCCCCAAAUCUGUCAGAAAGACAUACUGUGGUGGUUCAUGUUUCUCCAGUAAAGGACCAGCUGCCAGAGGAGGUGCCAGGCAGCAUCCGUGCCAUCACAGUGAAGGAGACAGAAAUUGUCCACCUCACCCAGAGCCACCUGCACUUCAGGGACCAAGAGUCUCCUGAGACAGACCUCAUGUAUUCCAUCAUUCAGCCCUGUUUCAGCCCCACAGCAUCCAGGAUGCAGGAUGCCGGCAGGCUGUUCUAUACUGACAGUGCAUACUCCAUGAAGAAGGAUCCCACUGUUCCAGUGCUGAAGUCUUUUACUCAGCAUGCAGUGAAUCACCUGAAAGUGGGGUACAUGCCCCCCCUCGAAGACAUUGGACCAGAGCCUCUUUUUGUGCAGUUUAUCUUCUCUCUGAAUGACCAGCACGGUGGCACUCUGAGCGGCCUUGUCUUCAACAUUACCGUGAUGCCAGUGGACAACCAGCCUCCUGAGAUGUUCACCAACUUGAUGAGGGUGGAGGAGGGAGGAAGUGGCUUCGUGACCGAAGAGCACCUCCUGGUGCGGGACACGGAUAGCCAGGACACCCAGCUGAUGUUGCAGCUUCAAACAGCUCCUCGGCAUGGACAGCUGGAGCUGCAGGGUAUAGCGUUACUGUCAGGGGACAACUUUACUGUCCAGGACCUGAGGAGGCUCAGAGUCAGGUAUAUUCACGAUGACAGCGAAACUCUUGAAGACAGUAUUGACCUCAAAGCAACAGAUGGCACAAACUCUGCUUAUGGAUCACUCUCUGUGCAGAUCCUGCCUGUGAAUGAUGAGCCGCCCCUGCUCGGUGCCGGGCUACGAUCAGGCCUGGAGUGUGCAGAGGGGGGACGUGUGCAGGUGAGCGCGGACUACCUGUCUGCCACGGAUGCAGACAGUGAUGACGCCGAGCUCAUGUACAUGUUGGCACGGAGGCCAGCCCAAGGAGAACUGCAGAGAGCAGGCAUGGCAGUGGAAAAAUUCUCUCAGUGGGAUGUUGUCCAGGGGUUGAUCUUCUACGUGCACACAGGUGGUGAGAUCGGACCCCACCCUGUCUUAGACCCCGUCACCUUGAUUGUGUCAGAUGGAGAAGCUGGCCCUCUGGAGGGCUGCUGCCAUGGAGAUGCUCCACCACCACCUGUCCCUUUGCAUGGAUUCCUUCCUGUAUACGACCUCAACAUCACUGUACUUCCUGUCAAUAACCUGCCCCCUGUUAUCACACUAGGAGACAUGAUUGUGGUGGAUGAGGGUUCCUCUGCUUGUCUCUGUGGGGGGUUUCUGGGGGCAACUGAUCCUGAUACACCCCAGGACCAGCUCCUGUUUUCCAUUGAUGUUCCACCCCAGUAUGGCUUUAUAGAGAACACCUUGCCCUCACCCGGGUUUGAGAAGAGCAACGCAGGACUCAGAGUUUACUCUUUCAGCUGGCUGCACCUCAAUGCAGGGUACAUCAACUAUGUCCAGUCUCAGCAUGAAGGGACAGAGCCUGGAGCUGACCACUUUGUUGUGACAGUCAGCGAUGGGGUGCAGAGGUCAGCCUCAGUUCCCUUCUACAUAAUCAUCAGUCCUACAAAUGAUGAGAUGCCCACACUGCUCCUCAGCAACUUCUCUGUGAUGGAGGGAGGCAUGAAGGACUUGACUCCACAUAUUUUGGAUGCGGUGGAUUUAGAUGUCCCCACAGACACACUCACCCUCUCAGUUGUGGUGCCACCAGCCCACGGGAUGCUACUGAAUGGAAUCUACGGAGAGCAGAUGAGCCGCUACAGGGAGAUGGGACCUGAACUCCUCCAGAGAAGCCUCAGUGUGAUGGAUUUCACCCUGCAGGAACUUCGUCACGGAAUGAAGAUCAUAUACAUGCACGAUGACACGGAAACCCUCAAGGACGCUUUCACCAUGCAGCUGACAGAUGGCAGGCACACAGUCCAGGGGACGGCGCACGUCCGACGCCCUGGGACAAAUUUCAAGCCAAAAAGAAUUAUCUCCAGUGUGGUAUUGGAUGCAGAAGACCUGGACACCCCCAUACAUAAAUUGUACUACAUCCUCAGUGUUGGCCCCAAGUUCGGACAGCUGCAGAUGAAGGUCAGCCGCAAGAUCUAUACAGAUCUACAAAAUCUCUUAAACUGA